CAUCUUCAUCAUCACCCUCAUUAUUUGUGAGUCUCUCUGAGGUCAGAAAAUAGACUUUGUGCAAGUCUGCAAGCCCAAGUGUGAGUGAUAGUUUUCCGUGUAUUUGUCCACGGCACAGGUUUAUACGUGAAUGACCCAGUGUGACUGUCCCAUGUAGCUGAAGUUUCUCCAGGAACACAGUCAGGACAACUGAGGAGUGUGGGGCGGGCAAACAACAAAUGUUGACCUCCUAAAUAGAGGGUCUAAAGGGAAAUAGUGAGGUGUGCUGGAAAGAACAGAGGCUGAGGAGCAGGCCUCGCCUGGGUUCCCGUGCUGGCUCUGACACCAAGAGUCCACGGAAAACCUGUGCAGUGGGCCCUGCUGGGGUCAGGUGGAGAGCGGAUGUUGAGGUGGGUGCCAGAAAGCCAGAAACGCACACACGCUGGGUGUGGGAACCCGGAUGCCUCUGACCCUCUGGCUGUGGGUGAGUCUUGAUCCUUCCCUCACUGACGUCUGUGAGGCCCACUGCCCUUCUAGGUGUGGUAGACCUGAAGACACUGGUCUGUCCCAGGCUGACUGAGAGACGGGCCAGGGGUUAUAACGAGGCUGAGAGAUGACAGCCUCACAGAACUCAGGCCCCUCCUUCAGAGCAUCCCGCUAAGCUGCAGGCUGCGGGAUCUGCCAUUUACACCAAGUGCCAUUUACACCAAGUAUGAGAACUCCUGGCCAGCUCUCCAAACUUUGAAGCUCUGGGACAGAAAAGGGCAGGAGAUAAUGAG